CUAGCCGGCAAUUCGGAGAGCCGGCACAUGUAUGAGCUUCUAAACGUUCUAAACAGUUGGAAAUUGUUUUAUCCAGCCGCUUGCCACGUUUUAACAAAUUAAAUAUGUUCGCUGUUAGUUUCAGUAUUCAUAACAGAGUGAUGCUCAACUGAUGACCAUUUUGAGAUCUAUAAAUAAAAGUAUCAAAAUCGAUUUUUAAAGUAAUCAAGCACCAUGCGUCUCCAACGAUCAAAUAAGCUCAAUUUCAACCAACUUAAAACUAAAUUGUCUCUAUUCAUCCCAUAUGACUCAAUUCACCAGUUCAAAGUGGAUAAAUAUGACCUGAAAACAAAACCGGAGCACAAAAGAGCAACAAACGAGCCCGAUGUGUAAAAUAUAAAUUACGAUACGCCCCUUAACCACGACAACAAACCAUUUCUGAAGCCGUGGAGUUGCAACAAGCCCUCGAAAAAGCUUCUUCCAAGUAUCGUGUCACGAAACGAUUCCCAAGAGGGGGUUGAAAUUUGCGAAACACACAAACUUGAUCCCCUCGCCGAGGGGGUCUUCCCCAGUUUUGCUCUCAGGCUGGAAAUGCGGAACGGAUACGGCGACUUUCAAGGUCCCUGUCCGGUGGCGGCGAUUCAAGCAGGUCUCGUGCAGCAGCAGCAGGGUGCAGCCGAAAUUGGCAUAAUUUUCCGGCACAAGUUCAACCUCAAAUUGUGGCCCACGAAAACACGAGCUUUUGACGGCUCAAGGACGCAUUGCCUAGGAAUCGCUGCAUUAUUUGAAGGAUUUUU